AAUUCUUGGGCAGGGAUCAAGCUGUCUGCCACCAUCAGGGAGAGCUCCUGGAAGCAGGGGAGGAAAUCCUGGAAGAAGAUCUGGGCCAGACAGCCCACCGCACGAAUAAACCCACUAGUGCCUUGCUCCCAGUGCCUCCCAGGUGGUGGCAACAUGGAGAAACCAUGGGGCCUGAUUUCCAGGCAGUUCCUCAGAGCGAUGAACCAGAGACCGGGUGGCUGAACGAGAAGGGAAAAGUUUAGGGGAGCUGGCACUUCCAGUGUCAAGCCCGAGAAGCCAGCGUGAAGAGGAGCCGCCCAGACCUUAAAUUUCCUCCUUGGUCUGCCUUCUCGCCCAGAAGUCCAACCACACAGAUCCAGGAUUGCUUACUGGUUUUGUAUUAUCUGUGGAUCUGUGCCCCUCGAGUCCCCUUAAAAUGUCAGCAAAUCCCACAGAGACAAUCUGAAGCGAGACAAGGGUUAAGAAGAGUCUUCAUGAAGUGUUCCUUUUAGAAAUUCUGGCCAGCUUAACCCACAGGGAGCUCACCGAGCCUGGGCUCUUCUGAGUCUUCUGCGAAAAUGUUUUACCCAAACAGACUCUUCCCAUUAAACGGGAUCAAACCAAGUGGUCGUUUGCCAGUGUGCUGCCUACAUCGUUGACACCUUCCCUCUGAGCUGUGUGACACCAGCCCCUCCCUCCAGCGAGCAGGGCAGGAAAAAAGCUACAAAGCACUGACCGAAUGAAUCCUGCUGGGCAAGCGCCAGGCAACCAAGAGCACUGCAUUUUGGAUGCAAGGCUCUAGUUGGUGGGUGAGAACCCUGGAACCAGAAGUAGGCUGGGAAUGCAUGGAUAUUGGGAACUUCACCAGGAAUUCCUCAAGACUUUCUACACCAUGUAAGAGAUAUAUUUUAUGUGUGAUCCCGUACACAUACAGCUGCAAGUGGACACAGAUACUAACAUACAACAGAAACCAGCUCCUAGAACUCACCCUGCUAACUCUGCUUGCCAAGGAAUAUCCAUUUAAAAACCAUUUCUUGAAUGAACCAAGCAAAACCAAACCCUAGUGAGACAAUACAUUCACCAGGUGCAAUGCACUCUGAUAUUUUCUAUUCUAUUUCUAUUCUUCAUUUCUUAAAAAAGGUAACAAUUUGCAACCCACUAAAGUAAUGUUGCCACGGCUAAUAGAGGCCCCUGUUUUGGAAGGACCGUUAUGCACUGCCUGCCCCCUCUCUGAAGAUUACAGAAACUUGUCAUGUGGGAAGCCGGGGACUGGGGGCAUUGGAGGCAAGCAGGAUGACACUGGGAUAUAACCGGGUGGGGAGAGGAAGCCUGUUGGGUGAAGCCAUGGGGGAGCCACACUGCUGGCUAAGGGCCAAGGCGCUGCUCUCUGGCUGAGGGCUAUGUUCCAUCUCCCCUCUUCCAGUCCACACACUGCCACUGUCCCCACACAGGAAACUGUCUUCACACCCAGGAAGAGUUUGCAAAUGGAGUCAGGCUGGCAAUUGCUCCACUUAGGUAUCACUCGAAGGACCAGGAGUGGGGAAAUGAGGGUUGUUUAAGCUGCUGUGAAAAUCAUGGAGUAACCUGGUAAAUGAAAAAUCCACUCUGACCCACAAGAAGCACUAAAGUGAGGAAUUAAACAACUUUGUAAAUAAAGGGAUCAUUACUCUUGAAGCAUUAAUACACGCAUAAGACCUAUUGAAAACAUCCCAUUUCAAGAUAAAUGAAGAGCAUUAGCUGCUCAUUUCCCAAUCUGGAUGGGCUGUUUUCACAGCCCAGCACUGGGGGUCUGAGGCCUGGGUCAGCAGGGGCUGGCUCAGGUGGCUUGCUAGUGGGGCUGCAGAGGGACUCAGGAGGGGACCGUUUCUGCAUUUCUGCUACAGCGAAGGUUGUAAUCACAGCCCUGCUUUUCACUAAGGGGAGGUGCCCACUGCACACCUGAUGAAGUCGGGAGGAAAGUUCUAGACCAGUGCAUUUGCCUCCUCCAAGUUUCAUCAUCAUUCACCAAAUAAGCAUAAUUGCUCCGUGUUUAAGAGGUGCUGGGAACAGGGGCGCUGCCUGUAAUUGCCUAAUGGGCGGGCGAAAUGAGGUGUGAGGCACAUUGGUGUGAAAAAAGCAAUAGCCACAAGUUUAUUAACAUUGAAAAUUAAAAUAAGCUCAGCCCCAGCCAGGCAGUCCUUGCUGAAAUGAAUCCCAUUAUCCCUCUAAUAACUGCACAGGGCUCAAUUGGAUGCCCCCCAGGAGGUAGAGAGGCCUCAAUACGGGUCACCUCUCUGCCAGCUUCGGGAGUAGCAGAGGCUCUGGUUCACAGAUGACUAUCACAGAGGAAACACAAACAGCCCUGCCUCCCCUGCAGCUCCUCCAGCUCCACUUAAAUCCACGGGCAGGUGCUUGGGGAGCUGUGAAGGGGGAGCCUGGAGAGAAUUACAUGCAAUUCUGACCUGGGUGCCUUUUUGAAUAGUUGCUGAUUGGAAUUUUCAAAAGCAAGCUGUAAGGUUCUGGAACUGACUGUCACCAGGUCCAUGUGAAGGAGGUCAGGAGCCCUGACUGGGGCUCAGCAACCAGCCCUGCCUUCUUUUUUGCACCUUGAUCAUGUUAUCAAAUAUUUCUAGAUGCCCAGGGCUAGGAGGAGAGUUGCCCUUGACCUUGAGCAGAUUCAAUCAAUGUAGGAAACAAGGCUCUCCUGGGGAGAAUAAUCAGAAAGCAAUCAGUGAAUGCUGCAGCCCAGAGCCUAAUGAAAAUGCAUCCAGGUGGGGGUGCUGCCCAGGUAAAGGAAAGGCAGAGGGAACCGCAUGAACAGAAUCUUACAGACGCGAGGCACUUGGAAGAAAGGAAGGAGGCCAACCUGGCGGAAGGCAAGCUCGGAGCUGGUAGAACUGGGUGGGUGGAGAGAGGGGCACAGGGAAAGCCUGGAGCCUGGAGCCUGGAGCCUGGAGUCUGGAUUGUAAUGCUGGAUUUAAAGGGAAUCCUUGUAGUUUUCCGAAAAGAGGAAUCAUGGGAUUCAAGAAUUUAAAUCACUCCAUAUUAAAUUCACUUUGUUUUAAAAAAUA
rnacentral:lncRNA from 1 species